rnacentral:rRNA from 1 species
UACGUAGGGUGCGAGCGUUAAUCGGAAUUACUGGGCGUAAAGCGUGCGCAGGCGGUUUUGUAAGUCAGAUGUGAAAUCCCCGGGCUUAACCUGGGAAUGGCAUUUGGAACUGCAAGGCUCGAGUGCGGCAGAGGAGACUGGAAUUCCUGGUGUAGCAGUGAAAUGCGUAGAUAUCAGGAGGAACACCGAUGGCGAAGGCAGCCUUCUGGGCCAACACUGACGCUCAUGCACGAAAGCGUGGGGAGCAAACAGG